AACGAACGCUGACGGCAGGCUUAACACAUGCAAGUCGAACGGGCGUAGCAAUACGUCAGUGGCAGACGGGGGAGUAACACGUGGGAACCUUCCUAGGGGUACGGAACAACUCAGGGAAACUUGAGCUAAUACCGUAUACGUCCGAGAGGAGAAAGAUUUAUCGCCCUUAGACGGGCCCGCGUCGGAUUAGGUAGUUGGUGGGGUAACGGCCUACCAAGCCGACGAUCCGUAGCUGAUCUGAGAGGAUGAUCAGCCACACUGGGACUGAGACACGGCCCAGACUCCUACGGGAGGCAGCAGUGGGGAAUCUUGGACAAUGGGCGCAAGCCUGAUCCAGCCAUGCCGCGUGAGUGAAGAAGGCCUUAGGGUUGUAAAGCUCUUUUGGCAGGGACGAUAAUGACGGUACCUGCAGAAUAAGCCCCGGCAAACUUCGUGCCAGCCGCCGCUGUAACAC
rnacentral:rRNA from 1 species